AUGCCAAAUCCGACUUAUGAGAAGUUGGACCGAGUGUUGGCUAGCGUAGAAUGGGAACAGAAGUUUCCCCUGGUGACCGUCCAGGCCUUGUCCCGUGGUAUUUCUGACCAUACUCCAUUAUUUGUCGACUCUGGUGCACCCACACACCUAGGGAACAAGAAUGUGUUCUCCUUUGAGAUGGCUUGGUUUGAACGAGAUGGAUUCCUGGAUCUCGUGGCCAGAGAGUGGGCUAAGGAUUCAGGAGGGAGGACCGCUCUUCAGCGCUGGCAGAAUAAGAUUAGACACUUGAGGAGUUUCCUACGUGGGUGGGCUAAGCAUUUGAGUGGGAUUUAUAAGGUCGAAAAGGAAAAGCUCCUUGCCCUUAUAUAG
rnacentral:rRNA from 1 species